AUGCCGGAGGGUGUAAAUGAUACUUCUACUGUGUUAAUUCCUAAAGUUCCCCAUCCCAAGGAACUGAAGGAUUUUCAUCCAAUAAGUUUGUGCAAUGUGGUAUACAAGAUUGUGUCGAAGUGCAUGGUGAACAGAUUGCGCCAGCUGCUUACUGAACUUAUUUCAGAGAACCAGAGUGCUUUCAUUCUAGGGAGACUCAUCUCUGAUAACUCUAUUAUUGCGUUCGAGUGUAUACACCAUAUUCGAUCCAUGAAGGAGAAUUCACCGGCCUUGUGCGCUUAUAAGUUGGAUCUCUCGAAGGCCUAUGAUUGUGUGGAUUGGGAUUUUCUAGAGAAGACCCUUUUGAAAUGGGGAUUCUCGCAGACCUAG
rnacentral:rRNA from 1 species